UACGAAGGGGGCUAGCGUUGCUCGGAAUCACUGGGCGUAAAGGGUGCGUAGGCGGGUUUUUAAGUCAGGGGUGAAAUCCUGGAGCUCAACUCCAGAACUGCCUUUGAUACUGAAGAUCUUGAGUCCGGGAGAGGUGAGUGGAACUGCGAGUGUAGAGGUGAAAUUCGUAGAUAUUCGCAAGAACACCAGUGGCGAAGGCGGCUCACUGGCCCGAUACUGACGCUGAGGCGCGAAAGCUAGGGGAGCAAACAGG
rnacentral:rRNA from 1 species